GACGAACGCUGGCGGCGUGCCUAAUACAUGCAAGUAGAACGCUGAAGGAGGAGCUUGCUUCUCUGGAUGAGUUGCGAACGGGUGAGUAGCGCGUAGGUAACCUGCCUGGUAGUGGGGGAUAACUAUUGGAAACGAUAGCUAAUACCGCAUAAUAGCAGUUGUUGCAUGACAACUGUUUGAAAGGUGCAAUUGCACCACUACCAGAUGGAGCUGCGUUGGGUUAGCUAGGUGGUGGGGUAACGGCACACCAAGGCGACGAUACAGAGCCGACGUGAGAGGGGGGUCCGCCACACUGGGAGUGAGACACGGCCCAAGCUCCCACGGGAAGCAGCCGGAGGGCAUCUUCGGGCAUGGGCGGAAGACUGACCGCGCACCGCCGCGUGAGUGUAGAAGGUUUUCGGGUCGUAAAGCUCGGUUGUAAGGGAAGAACGAGUGUGAGAGUGUAAAGUUCACAGUGUGACGGUAUCUGACCAGAAAGGGACGGCUAACUACGUG
rnacentral:rRNA from 1 species